GACGAACGCUGGCGGCGUGCCUAACACAUGCAAGUCGAGCGAUGAAGUUCCUUCGGGAACGGAUUAGCGGCGGACGGGUGAGUAACACGUGGGCAACCUGCCUUAUAGAGGGGAAUAGCCUUCCGAAAGGAAGAUUAAUACCGCAUAAGAUUGUAGCUUCGCAUGAAGUAGCAAUUAAAGGAGCAAUCCGCUAUAAGAUGGGCCCGCGGCGCAUUAGCUAGUUGGUGAGGUAACGGCUCACCAAGGCGACGAUGCGUAGCCGACCUGAGAGGGUGAUCGGCCACAUUGGGACUGAGACACGGCCCAGACUCCUACGGGAGGCAGCAGUGGGGAAUAUUGCACAAUGGGGGAAACCCUGAUGCAGCAACGCCGCGUGAGUGAUGACGGCCUUCGGGUUGUAAAGCUCUGU
rnacentral:rRNA from 1 species